rnacentral:rRNA from 1 species
AUUGAACGCUGGCGGCAGGCCUAACACAUGCAAGUCGAACGAGUGGCGGACGGGUGAGUAAUGUCUGGGAAACUGCCUGAUGGAGGGGUAUCACUACUGGAAACGGUAGCUAAUACCGCAUACCAUCGGAUGUGCCCAGAUGGGAUUAGCUAGUGGGUGGGGUAAGUGCUCACCUAGGCGACGAUCCCUAGCUGGUGUGAGAGGAUGACCAGCCACUGUGGAACUGAGAGACGGCCGAGAUGCCUACGGGAGGCAGCAUGGGGGAAUAUUGCACAAUGGGCGCAAGCCUGAUGCAGCCAUGCCGCGUGUAUGAAGAAGGCCUUCGGGUUGUAAAGCACUUUCAGCGGGGAGGCGUUACCCGCAGAAGAAGCACCGGCUAACUCCGUGCCAGCCGCCGCGGUAAUAC